GAUGAACGCUAGCGGCAGGCUUAAUACAUGCAAGUCGAGGGGCAUCAAGGUACACGAAAGUGUAUUGUUGGCGACCGGCGGACGGGUGAGUAAUAGGUAGGUAACCUACCUCAUACUGAGGCAUAGCUGGGAGAAAUUCCAGGUAAUUCCUCAUGAGGUUAUAUGACACAUGUGAUAUAAUCAAAGGUAUCGCAAGGUACUGGUAUGAGAUGGGCUUACUGACCAUUAGCUAGUUGGUGAGAUAAGAGCUCACCAAAGGCGAAGAUGGUUAGGGGUUUUUGAGAGAGAGAUCCCCCACAUUGGAACUGAGAUACGGUCCAGACUCCUACGGGAGGCAGCAGUAGGGAAUAUUGGGCAAAUGGGCGGAAGCCUGACCCAGCCAUGCCGCGUGAAGGAAGACGGCCUUAUGGGUUGUAAACUUCUUUACUAUGCGAAUAAGAGGUUAGUACGAGAUACUAAUAAGGAAGGUAGUGUAGUAAAAAGACACCGGCUAACUCGUG
rnacentral:rRNA from 1 species